rnacentral:rRNA from 2 species
UUAAGCGACUAAGCGUACACGGUGGAUGCCCUGGCAGUCAGAGGCGAUGAAGGACGUGCUAAUCUGCGAUAAGCGUCGGUAAGGUGAUAUGAACCGUUAUAACCGGCGAUUUCCGAAUGGGGAAACCCAGUGUGAUUCGUCACACUAUCAUUAACUGAAUCCAUAGGUUAAUGAGGCGAACCGGGGGAACUGAAACAUCUAAGUACCCCGAGGAAAAGAAAUCAACCGAGAUUCCCCCAGUAGCGGCGAGCGAACGGGGAGGAGCCCAGAGCCUGAAUCAGUGUGUGUGUUAGUGGAAGCGUCUGGAAAGGCGCGCGAUACAGGGUGACAGCCCCGUACACAAAAAUGCACAUACUGUGAGCUCGAUGAGUAGGGCGGGACACGUGGUAUCCUGUCUGAAUAUGGGGGGACCAUCCUCCAAGGCUAAAUACUCCUGACUGACCGAUAGUGAACCAGUACCGUGAGGGAAAGGCGAAAAGAACCCCGGCGAGGGGAGUGAAAAAGAACCUGAAACCGUGUACGUACAAGCAGUGGGAGC